CCCUCUCAUCUCCCUUCAUGGUGCUUUCCCUCUGGUGCUCUCUUGCUCUAAAAUAAAAUCUUCUUAUUUUAAACCUACUGUACCCUCCAAGUUAUAAUCUGUAUUUUUCUCCUAAAAUGGUACUAUAUGUACAUAGUUAUGCUAGAAUAUACCUAGCAAUUGUGAGUACUUCAUGGGUUAAAAGGGAUUUUUAGGAGCUGACCACAUAAUUCAACGUUUAACAAAUCACCUGUAAAGUUUUGCAGGCGAGGUAAACACAACACCAGGCCAGGAAGGCACAAGGCAAGAUUUAUUAAAGGCACUCUCCAGGGAAGUUUCAAGGCUCAGGAGAAGGGCAGCCAGGAAAGUCCCUCUGGGAGGAAGUGGGCACCCUCGGGCGAGGUUCCGCUACUCUGGAAAGGGGAGUCGGGAAAUCGUUCUGUUGUGGUCUGCAUGGAUAAUUCCUAUAAUUGGCGUUGGUACCUCUCCCCCUGAUGACCUCCCCCUCUGGCCUCAGACUCCGUUUUGUGAAGCUUCCCUUAAUUUUCAUGUAUCUAAUUACUUUUUAAAAAAACGUUUUGUCAUUUAUUUGUCAGAGAGAGAGCACAUACAAGCAGGGGAACAGCAGGCAGAGGGAGAAGCAGGCUCCCUGCAGAGCAGGGAAGCCCUAUUCAGGACUCAAUUCCCAGACCCUGGGAAUCAUGACCUGAGCUGAAUGCAGACGCCCAACCGACUGAACCACCCAGGCGUCCCAUGAAUCUAAUCAAGCUUAAUCUAAAUCAAGCUUCACCUGGGGGUGGUAUUGUUAGGAGGAGCUGAUUGGACACUUAGGUAAUCAGGGCCAGGGUCCCCAACAAGAAAACAGGGAGCGGGGACAGCUAAGACAAAACCCCACCAGCAUCCUGUUUCACAGCAUAGACAAGACCACAGUGGCAUCCUGUCUAGCAGCCUCUGUAGGAGUGACUCUUACAGAAUAUCCUGAAACAAAACAAUUAACCACAAAACGUGGGUCACUAUCACAAGCUGAGACAGUUGGUUUUCCAAAUGUCAGCCCAAAUGAGCAGCAACACGGGAACAAUAACCCGAUAGGUAUGAUGAGGGAGCAGGAGGCUGGCUGAGGACAAAGCAAGAGCUGGUGCCUUGCACCCCCCCCCUUUCAUCCGCUCCCCUCCAUAGGUGUAGCAUUCCUCAGGCAUCCCUGACUGCCAUAAAAUGAUAAAUAGUUAACUUGCUGAGAUCACAGUCCUGCAAGACAGGAGUCUCCCUUGGUUUGCAAAUGUCCUUGAGAUUACAACAAAGAAGUUACCUUAUCAAUAGCCCAAUUUCUAAAGACACAGAACUCAGUUCCUCAAGCCCUAAUGUCACCCUCCCCUCCAUAAAAAACCAAAGGAGGUGGAAGUAGAAGGAAAAGUAAAUAAAGUUAAAUUUCUUCUAAACCUAAAUCUCAUUAACAAGGAUGCUUGAUAGCAGGAAUGUAACAUUCCACCAGACUUCCAAUUGUCUUUACUUGAUAGCAACUAAGCCUUCAAUAUCCUGAUGGUAUUCUUUGCCCCAAUAGCCCUUCUGAACACCCCUUUGUCCUCACCUACCCAACUCCUGUGUAUAUAACCAACCACUCCUCACAACCCGGGGCAGCUGCAUCUCUGCCUGCCCACGGGCCCUGUCCCCGUGCUUUAAUAAAUCACUUUUUGCACCAACGACGUCUUAAGAAUUCUUUCUUUAGUCGUCGGCUCCGAACCUCCUCACCCCACCGAACCUGACUUGGGUUCUGGGACUUCAUCAGGUAGACGGGGGCAUGAUCAAAGCUUGGACUGGUACACCUCCAUAGCCAAUCCACAGGGGGCCCACACUCCAGCUGUUCAAGAUAGUCCUGUAAUAGGGCUCUCUGCUCAGCAGGGAGCCUGCUUCUCCUCAUCUCUCUCUCUGUCUGUCUCUCUGCCUAUUUGUGAUCUCUCUCUCUGUCAAAUAAAUAAAUAAAAUCUUUAAAAAAAAAAA